CUGGCCUCCCUCCACCAGUUGCCUGUGUACUUUAGAGUUGAUUUUAAGAUUCUGCUAUUUGUUUUCAAAUCUCUAAAUGGUGUCGCCCCUGCCCUACCAUUCUGCAUUCCGCUGUGCCUCCGGUCGGCUGACCAGCUGCUCCUGGAGGUGGCAAAGACAUGGGAACUGCAGGAGGAUUACUCCUUAAGAAGAAGAAGAAGAAUCACUUUUUAUUGUCAUGACCAUCCAUGCAUGCACACGAAAUUUGUUCUCUGCAUUUAACCCAUCACAGUGAACACAUACACAUGUUAGUGGAACACACUGGAGCAGAGGGCAGCUGAAGCGCCCGGGGAGCAUUUCUGGGUAUCGGUGUCUUGCUCAAGGACACCACAGCCGUGAUGUUGGCGGAGGGUCCAGUCGGGGUCUUGAACCUAGGUCCCCCACGGUGCCAGGCGAUAAUCUUAACCAUUGGGCCAGGGCUUCUUUAUAUGCAUGUUUUUGGGAGCUGGGAGCAAACCGGAGUACCUGGAGAAAACCCACACAGGCAAACUUCACACAGGCGAGGCCAUAUUUGAACCCAGGUCCUCAGAACUGUGAUGAAGAUGUCCUAACCAGUCGCCCACCGUGCCGUUAAUCCGAGUUCAAUUACUUAAAAUAAUAAUAAUCUUGGAAAUGGUCAAAUGUAGUAACAAAAAAGAGGAGUGACAAUAGAAAGGAGAACACAUGUCUGAUUUGCACACAGUAAAGCAGCAUCUGGAAUCAUUCCAGCUGCGGAAAGGCAGACUGCCAACCUGCGUGUGUUAGCAGAUUGGGUUUAACACGCCAGAUUGAUUGUAAUUGUCUGAUCAAUCCAAUGUUUGUGAGCGCUAAUGCCCUUUAUUAUGGUUUGUUUUCUUUUCAUGCUUUUUCCUCUGCUGAUUCCUCUUCCCUGGGGAAGGUCCGUGUCACCAAUUCUAUUGCAUCAAUUCUUUCCAAAACUGGAGUCUCACUGAGCAAUAUAUGAGAACAUUUGUGUACCCCUUUUUUGAUGUCAAUAAAUGCACCCUAAGAUC